rnacentral:lncRNA from 1 species
UUGAAUGCUGGAUAGCCCUACUUGACAUUUCUAUAAUUAGAGUGCCUAUUGAAAACUUUUAACAAUUUUCCAUAAUCUUCUUGUAUGUUAAACCAAUUCAUAUUUUUCUCUUGUAACUCCCCCAAUUAUUCGCUUGCACAUAAAAAAAGAGUCAAGAUGGCUUGGUUGAGUCCCAUGUGUUUAAGAAUCAUUAUUUUUUUCACAAGCAGAUGCUCAAAGCGUAAUUGCAAAUUGUAGCAGUGCUUCGUUCUCCAUCCUCUACUCUGAAAAUGACGAUUUCCUUCGUAAGUUUGAUUUCCAUGUUAUUGCUAAACUCCAAUAAGUAGAUGAAAUUUAUAUACUUACCUUUCAUUUAUGAAAUUUAUAUUAUGUCAAUUAGUUUUUUGGAUUAUUUUUACCCUCAUAUUUCAUUUUACUUUUUCUAUUGUAUAAUUUAAACUUACAUCAAUAUUUUUCAGGAAAAAACAUUGAUUGUUGUCGGUACGAUUAAGCAUGUGCGAUCUCUUGUUCCAAUCUUCAAACCUCUGUUUUAAAAAUAAUAUGAUUUUAAUAUUAUUUAUGACAUGUUUGUUUCUUUUUCAGAUAUGUUG